GCCAGUGUGGUGUAACGGCUUGAAUAUUGGACUAUGACUUUGGAAACCAGGGUUCAAAUCCCUGCUUGGCC
rnacentral:tRNA from 1 species